GGAUUUAAGCUUUCAGGGGCCAGGAACGACAUCUAGAAGCCACAUUUGCCAGAGCACUAAGGACAGUCAUCAGAUUCUCCUCCAAGAGGUCAGUCACUUGGACCAGAAGGUAUUGCUACCAGUUCAUUUCUACCUCACACUUGAAGGAAGUGAGCCGUGAGAUUUUAUUUCUGGAUUGGACAAUAGGCUUCCUAUUGUUGGUUGGCCUGCCCGCCCACACCUGUGUCACACAGGCUAAACGCCAUCACGACAGGGCUGUCCACAGCGAAGCAUUCACUGGACACUUGAGUUUGUCUCAGAAAUGGAGCAAAAGGGAAACAAAUGGUCUCAGGGUGGACUUAGUAAAUGUGCUCCUCUGCAUCAGAGCCUUGACGGUGUCCGUGAAACCUCCUCCCUUUCACCACCAGCCAGCAUACCUAGGAGUCGCUGCUAAAGUCUGUGCAUCUCUCUAAAGCUUGUUGUUUAGUUCCUAAUAGAGAUUAUUUUUUAAAAAGGUGAAGGAGAUGGUAGGAUAAUUCUGGAUGGUUGAUGGUUUAAAACAAAAGAAAAUAAAUCCAAAAAAUACCAGGGAAACAACACCAAAAUUGCAACACAAAACUUAUGCUUGUUUUUGAACAGAGUGCGAUGAUGGUUUGUUUCCAAGGUUCUGGCUCCUGGCCAUGUCAUUGCAAUGACCAACUCUACAUACUGAAAAUUGUCUCAGCAUUCGAUAUUAUUCUCCUCUAAAUCUUGUAUGGGCAAGAAUUACUGACCUCACUCUGGAAUGGAAAUCCCUUUGGCUUAAAGGUGCCGAUGUCACCAAACUAGAAGGCAGACUACAAUCCGGAUCUUUGUUUAGCUAACAUCACCAUGACCUUUCAGGAAUGCAAAAAAUCAGGCUCUUAGUCCAUCCCUCUGAGAGCAGUUUCACUGUGGAGCAGCUUCCUGGGCAGAGGGGACAAAUUUGUACCAGACUUCUGAAGGAUGUGUUGCUCAUCCCCCCUCCCCGGGCUUGUACCUCAUGGUUCCGUGAGUCAGAAAGGCACCUGGGCUGGGGCUGGCCAGGCAGGAUGGACACUUUCAUUGCCCCUUCACACCCGCUCUGGGGGAACCGGCAGCAGAACCCAGCAGUGGCAGCCCAAAGCUAUUUACCAAGGUACAGCUUCCCGGGCAGCCACACAAGAGGAGGCCACACCCUGCUCCUCGCUGAAAAAGGACCCAGAUUCAACAAUAACUUCAUCUCAGCGUACUUGGUAAGGAAGCUCUGAAGUGUUUGACCUAGAAAUGACACAAAGUGUUAGGUGGAAGAUUCUCUUGCCUCUUAGGACGUAGCACAAGAGCGUGUCAAGCUGAGUAUGUCCAGGGCACAGUCCCAGAGGUGGCCUUGAGCGGAGAGCUAUCUUCCAGGGAACACAGGAUAUUUCUUCUUGUAUUGCUCUUAGGGUCAACUCUGUAUCAAGAGACAGAAACCAAGAUGACUCAAAAGCCCUUGAAAAAGAGGCAGUCUCCUCUUAGAGAACUGCGUGUUUUCAUACAGCCUGUGCAGAGGGAGAGCUGUGAUUAAGGACCUGUAUUUUUUAUUUGCAGACUUUCAGUUCUGCUCUAAUUUGGCUGAAACCAUGGGUUCCGAGUUUCAUUUCCAAACGGCCAGCUUCCGGGCACGCCUUGCGGUCCCGACCAGCUACGCGGUGGCCCACGGGGCCCUGUGGUGUCUCCUGUGAGAAGGGUGGGAGCUCCCCGGGCCGGAGGAGCGACCCCCCACGGGGUCCGUGCUCACCCCACAUCCGGAGGUAGCCGGGUUCCACACCGAAUGCAGAAGUUGUAGUGGGAGAAGACGCCAUCUCGACUGCACAUGGAAUUGUGGUCUGGAGUCUGAGUGACAAUCAGAAGAUUCAGGGGAACUCGAAAGGGACCAGAUGCUUUUAGGUCAGAGAUUUAAAAUUCGGAAAGCAAAAGAAAAGAGAGAGGGGAGAGAAGAGGAGGAAGGAACUUGCAAGUGUUGCUGCAUCUUGAGAAAGGGGGAACAGGACAUGAUAGCCUUCGCUGCUCCCCUCAGUGCUGCUAAUUCAGGACCAAUUCCCUGCCAAGCAGAAGCAGGAAGCUGCUUGGAGAAAGGGCUGGGCGCCCCGGGCUGCUCCCCACGCUCCCCGUGGGUCUGUCUCAUCUGCCGCCCCCGCUCGCUCUCCAGCAGGUCUGCGGCUCACGAGGACACUCGUUAUUCCUCAGCUACACGCCAAGAGGGAUCUAGAACACUUUGGAAAAAGAACACAAAAGCCCUGGGUCUGCUGAGCAGCCUGUGAUCCGAUUAUCUGGCUUUGCCGAGGGCCGAGGGGGAGUGCUGUUUAUCUGGUCAGGGGUCGCGGUGGCAUCUCAAAGCCGCCCGGCCCCAUCCUGGGAGAAGGGCCAGCAGCAGGAGCCGCGGCAUCCAGACAGCUCCCGAGCAGAGCAGCCCACCCGGGGACACCGUCUCCUUCCGAGGGCAGGCCGAAGGGCAGGCACAGGCGCUCCGGAAGCAGGGAGAGCAUGCGGGGCGGGGCGGGGAGGGGAUUUCAGAGCUCACGGGCCGUCCUCCUCCCUCUGAAGUGUCCUGUCGGCGGGAACCAGCCUGGGGACUUCACAGCGAUGUCUGAUGUCUCUCCUCAUCGACUGCUUUCCUCCACCAGUGGACUCCACCCCUCACCGCUCUCCCAUUGGCCCUCGCUGCCUCUCGGUCUUGCCCGCCCUUCCCGUCAGGAUGUGCCAACCAUUCUUCCACUUGGACCCGGGCCUCCCACGAGACAGAUACCCCUUGCUUUCUUCUCCGAUUCUCUUUUCUCUGACACAGGCUAAAUGGCUUGGGCCACUCUUCUAAUUAGCAAUGAUCGCGCCUCAGAUAAACCUCAUUGGCUGUGCUGCUGCCACUGGGAAAACCUGGAGGCACUCGCUCUCUUAGACGUACAGUUUUACCCAGUGGUCAGAGGGCUAUCACAGAAGAUUCUUCAGGACACUUUCCUUUGGGAGGCGUAAGAGGAGCACAGUAGAAAUUACGCUGGGCCUUUGCGUGUGCAUGAUUCGUCUGCAUGGCCCAAAUGUGAACCACGCAAUGCUCCCAGUGUGACGCAUCCUGGCAGUAACUGGCAGCGUGAAUGGAGAGCCGAGUAAAUGCCCCUCCCAGGUACAGAGGAAGGCUCUGAGAGGGCACAUUUUGUCCCUUGGGUGGCGUCUCUGUUGGCUGGGUGAUACUCGAGUGGCUUGCUGAUGUUUCCAAGACAUGAGAACUGGUUUUGACCAGUGAGGAACUUUCCUUAGGGCUACGUGAGUCGCAGGUUGUCACAGAGUAAAGUGAGCACUGAUUUAUGGAGGGUCGAGGGCCCCAACGUAGAGGCUGUAAAUCACUCCGGAGUUUGUUUUCUUCACUUACACAGUGGUUUCUGGUGAAACUUGGAGCUUUUUGUAGCUAACGGCAUUUCAACUUUGUCCCGAUGGAAAAGGUGGCCGACAAGAGGUGGUAGCAUUUCAGACGCGUUCAUCAGCCUGUGCUGCACAAGGUAAAAAUAGGGGGAAACGGAAUGGACGCUCGUCUCACUCAUUGAACGAAACUCUCCCCCAAGUAGGUCCUGUCAUUUGCAGCUUUCAGGCGGACAGGCUGAGUAACAGACUCCAGCGGACAGGACGGAGACCCGCGGCUGGCCAGGGCCUCAGGCUGCGCUGCCCAGAGUCCGCCUUGGCCUGUGCGGGAGAACUGGCUGGGCCUCAAGUGAGGCUCCGCUCUCCUGGGGCCUCCGCAGGGCAUUUUCACGCUCUUCUGGUGCGAGCGGCUGUCAGCUCCCAGGUGACAAUCUGACACUGCAGGCCUCAGGAGGAGCAGCCGCCCAUUUCCACCUCAGGGCACGCCCACGGGGCAGGGCCGGUGGGUGUGGGUGCUGUCGGGCGGCGCCCUGAGUCCUCUGGCUCUCAGGGUUCUGAGAAGACAGUGGCGCUGACUUUUACAGCGCUCCCUAGAAUCACCCUUUUUUAACCUAAGGAUGAUCAGCUACAGUUUUGAGAUUAACCUUGGGGUAUUCCCUUUAUUUCAAAGUCUAAUCUGCUGUUACCAUGGCAGAAGAAAUAGAUGGGCAAGACCAGAGAGAAACAGCGCUUUCUUCUCUCCCUGCUCAGGAAUCCAGACCUACCAUUGAUGAGAGUUCGUGCAUCAAAACACCCAAGCGUUUCCCUUCCUACGGUCGCCUCGGUUCAGAUGCAUGGAGCGCAUAAGCCCAGCUCACAGUCCAGCACCUUCCGGCAGUUUGCUCUGAGGAGCUGCAGCUGUCCUUCCAGGGAGCGCAGGUGCCGGCCUCGGGUAACUCACAGCAGCGACGACAGCGGUCUGCACGUGUGUCAAAGUGGCUGGAGGUGGUGACCGGAAACUACCCGGGGACAUUUAUCCCCGGGAGAAGUCAGGAGGGCUGGCUCAGGUCCUUUGCCAAAGACAAUGCUGGUAGAAACAGAAUUCCAGGAGUCUGAGGGUUGAAUGAGAGGGGCUUUCCUAGGAGCCCAGACUCCUUCUGCCAGACCCCAGGAGUUGUUGACAAGAGCCAUAGCUGAAGACCCCAGAGCCAAAGCCUGCAUCAGCAAAUCUCCUCUGCUUAUCUGAAGAGCAAGACCCACAGGAUUACGCAGGAGAAAACAAUGUCAGAGCAGAAUUCACGGCCUGGUGAAGAAAGAAUCCGUGUUUCUUCCUUUGGAAUCUCUGCAAGAAAGCUCCUCAUAGAAAACUGAUUUCAGUAUGGUACAGUUUGCCUUAGUUCUCACUAAGGCUUUUCGUCCAUCGGAGGGCAUGGUAACAGUGACUGCGGUGAGAUCCAUCGGGUGCACGAUGUAAGUGCAGUAUGAAGGCGCUGCUGGCAGAUCUAGGCAGGAAGCGUGGCGUGCUGCGGCAGCAGGCAACUGCUCCCACACUGAGGGCCCGGCGCAGGUACUGACCCCACCAUGUGUGGCCCUGAGGGCAGCAGAGCACCUUCGUGCCCAGGGCCUUCGAAACUGCGCCUCUUCGUCACAUGUACUCCCUUGUCUCCAGCUCCGAGCAACGUAGACCCUGAGGGCCGCAGCUGUGCGCAGGACUCCGCCUUCCAGUACAGUUUCCAGGCCAGGUUUCUGCCUCUUUCUCACUAAACCAAGUCGGACCCACAAUGCCACACUCUCGAGAAAGCUUCCAAGCGUGGAGGACUCAAACUGCUGAUACCCGAACUGAUCUAAAUUUAACCUCAGGUAUCUUUGCCUUGUUAGAAUGGAGGCAGUUAGAGCGGGGAUAUAUUUGUUUUCGAGGCGAAAAGAUGAGAUUGACUUAAAUAGGAUGCACGAUGUAUUACUGAAAUCGUUUGAAAGGAGAACUGAUCUGAAAUAAGAUAUUCGGUGCUAUUUUCAGAUGAGGCCAGGAAACAGUGCUACUAUUAGAAAAUACAGUUUCUGACAGUGGAAGUACUUUCUUUUGUGAAAAAGACUAUGAAUAAAUUUAACAAGGAAACUAUAUUCAAAUAGAGCUUCUAACAUCCAACACAUUGUAUAAAUUCAUUAAUAAUAAAUAUAAACAAUAAAGAAAAAUACCAUUGAGAAUAAACUGCAAGGAAGAAACUGGUCCUAUGAAACAUCUUUCCAUGCCAUAAUAAUUGAUUAGUGUAAUAUCUUUUCAAGCUGUACCGCUCAGAAGUAUUUUAAAUAUUAUUUGACUAUAUAUGUAAUGUAUAUAUAUGUGUGUAUGUGUGUGUGCAUGUACUAUUCUUAGCUAAAUAUACACUAUUUUACUCAAGUGAAAUAUGAUAUCUGUCAUUUUUGUAACUAACUUAGAUUCAGUGUGGACUCCUCCAGGAUGUUCUCAUACAAUCAAACAAUUUGAUGUCAUAUUCUUUGCUUCAAUAUAAU
ensembl:lncRNA